GGACUACCAGGGUAUCUAAUCCUGUUUGCUCCCCACGCUUUCGAGCCUCAGCGUCAGUUACAAGCCAGAGAGCCGCUUUCGCCACCGGUGUUCCUCCAUAUAUCUACGCAUUUCACCGCUACACAUGGAAUUCCACUCUCCCCUCUUGCACUCAAGUUAAACAGUUUCCAAAGCGUACUAUGGUUAAGCCACAGCCUUUAACUUCAGACUUAUCUAACCGCCUGCGCUCGCUUUACGCCCAAUAAAUCCGGACAACGCUCGGGACCUACGUAUUACCGCGGCUGCUGGCAC
rnacentral:rRNA from 1 species